AUUGAACGCUGGCGGCAUGCCUUACACAUGCAAGUCGAGCGGCAGCGCGGGGGCGAACCCUCGGCGGCGAGCGGCGGACGGGUGAGUAAUACAUCGGAACGUGUCCUGUCGUGGGGGAGUAACCAGUCGAAAGACUGGCUAAUACCGCAUGAGAUCGAAAGAAUGAAAGCGGGGGACCGGCAAGGCCUCGCGCGAUUGGAGCGGCCGAUGCCGGAUUAGCUAGUUGGCGGGGUAAAAGCCCACCAAGGCUACGAUCCGUAGCUGGUUUGAGAGAACGACCAGCCACACUGGGACUGAGACACGGCCCAGACUCCUACGGGAGGCAGCAGUGGGGAAUUUUGGUACAAUGGGCGCAAGCCUGAUCCAGCCAUGCCGCGUGUGUGAAGAAGGCCUGGUGUAAGCA
rnacentral:rRNA from 1 species